rnacentral:rRNA from 1 species
GUGGGGAAUAUUGCGCAAUGGGCGAAAGCCUGACGCAGCAACGCCGCGUGGGGGAUGAAGGUUUUCGGAUUGUAAACCCCUUUCGACCGGAACGAAUCCCCUCCUGGUAAAUAAUCAGGAGGAUUGACGGUACCGGGAGAAGAAGCCACGGCUAACUCUGUGCCAGCAGCCGCGGUAAGACAGAGGUGGCGAGCGUUGUUCGGAUUUAUUGGGCGUAAAGCGCACGCAGGCGGGUUGGUAAGUCAGAGGUGAAAGGUCACAGCUCAACUGUGACAUUGCCUUUGAUACUGCCUUUCUUGAGUGCAUGAGGGGGAAGCGGAAUUCCGGGUGUAGAGGUGAAAUUCGUAGAUAUCCGGAGGAACACCGGUGGCGAAGGCGGCUUCCUGGCAUGUAACUGACGCUCAGGUGCGAAAGCGUGGGGAGCAAACAGGAUUAGAAACCCCGGUAGUCC